UUUUUUUCCCUGUCAGAUUGAACGCUGGCGGCAGGCCUAACACAUGCAAGUCGAGCGGAUGAAAGGAGCUUGCUCCUGGAUUCAGCGGCGGACGGGUGAGUAAUGCCUAGGAAUCUGCCUGGUAGUGGGGGACAACGUUUCGAAAGGAACGCUAAUACCGCAUACGUCCUACGGGAGAAAGCAGGGGACCUUCGGGCCUUGCGCUAUCAGAUGAGCCUAGGUCGGAUUAGCUAGUUGGUGAGGUAAUGGCUCACCAAGGCGACGAUCCGUAACUGGUCUGAGAGGAUGAUCAGUCACACUGGAACUGAGACACGGUCCAGACUCCUACGGGAGGCAGCAGUGGGGAAUAUUGGACAAUGGGCGAAAGCCUGAUCCAGCCAUGCCGCGUGUGUGAAGAAGGUCUUCGGAUUGUAAAGCACUUUAAGUUGGGAGGAAGGGUUGUAGAUUAAUACUNUCAAUUUGC
rnacentral:rRNA from 1 species